UACGGAGGGUGCAAACGUUGCUCGGAAUCAUUGGGCGUAAAGCGAGCGUAGGCGGCUUUGUAAGUCGGGUGUGAAAGCCCUCGGCUCAACUGGGGAGGGUCACGCGAUACUGAUCGACUCGAAGGCAGGAGAGGGUAGUGGAAUUCCCGGUGUAGUGGUGAAAUGCGUAGAUAUCGGGAGGAACACCAGUGGCGAAGGCGACUACCUGGCCUGUUCUUGACGCUGAGGCGCGAAAGCUAGGGGAGCAAACGGG
rnacentral:rRNA from 1 species